rnacentral:rRNA from 1 species
UACAGAGGUCUCAAGCGUUGUUCGGAUUCAUUGGGCGUAAAGGGCCCGUAGGCGGCCAACUAAGUCGGAUGUGAAAUCCCCAGGCUUAACCUGGGAACUGCAUCCGAUACUGGAUGGCUUGAAUCCGGGAGAGGGAUGCAGAAUUCCAGGUGUAGCGGUGAAAUGCGUAGAUAUCUGGAGGAAUACCGGUGGCGAAGGCGGCAUCCUGGACCGGCAUUGACGCUGAUGAGCGAAAGCUAGGGGAGCAAACGGG